UCCCCUCUGGUGUAGCGGCAGCACGCCGGCCUUUGGAGCCGCGAGGCCCGGGUUCGACCCCUGGGAGGGGAG
rnacentral:tRNA from 1 species